rnacentral:misc_RNA from 1 species
GCAUCAACAGUUGCUCCUGCCUCAAGAAGGAUUUGAGCACACUUUACCUCUCCAUAUCCACAAGCAAAAUGCAGUGCUGUUCUUCCCUCAGAAUCCUCUUCAUCCUUGUUAGCGCCAGAAGCCAUUGCAUUUUUCAAACCCUCAACAUCACCAACACUAGCACAAUGGUGAACUAUCGACUCAUCCUCAUUUCCUGCUUCUUCCUCUUCAUCUAGCCCAGGAUUUUCUACGGAAGUGGUUGCUUCUCCAGAAACUGCGAGACCCAUUGCUUCACCCAACUUUUGUAGAACUUCCUUGUCAUUCCAAUACCUCAUCAUGGCCGCCGGACCACCGGACUCUAUCUCUUCUAAUAUAGGUUUUAAAGAAGGAUCAUCUUUAAUUCGUGCCAUUCGUUCCUCAAU